UGGGGAAUAUUGCACAAUGGGCGCAAGCCUGAUGCAGCCAUGCCGCGUGUAUGAAGAAGGCCUUCGGGUUGUAAAGUACUUUCAGUCGGGAGGAAGGUGGUAAGGUUAAUAACCUUGGCAAUUGACGUUACCGACAGAAGAAGCACCGGCUAACUCCGUGCUAGCAGCCGCGGUAAUACGGAGGGUGCAAGCGUUAAUCGGAAUUACUGGGCGUAAAGCGCACGCAGGCGGUUGAUUGAGUCAGAUGUGAAAUCCCCGGGCUUAACCCGGGACUUGCAUCUGAUACUGGUCAGCUAGAGUCUUGUAGAGGGGGGUAGACUUCCAUGUGUAGCGGUGAAAUGCGUAGAGAUGUGGAGGAAUACCGGUGGCGAAGGCGGCCCCCUGGACAAAGACUGACGCUCAGGUGCGAAAGCGUGGGGAGCAAACAGG
rnacentral:rRNA from 1 species